AUAGAGGCUGUGGUGAGCUGUGCGCUGUGGAAGGCACGAAGGCUGGGUGACGGGAAGCGGUGUGGCCCCUGUGGGCACGGAGGUCCAGAGCCUCUGGGCGCUGAGAAGCUCCUAGAAUCAAACAGACCCAGUAAUCAAUCCCAGCUGCCGUGCGAGGUCCUGCCUCUUUUGUCACAUGUGAUGCCAACAGCAGGGAAGAAGUUUUUCAAGUGCAAAGGUGAUGAAUGUGUGAGAUUUUCCAACCCACGGGAGUUACCAGAAUGGAUUCCCUUCAGGUUCUGCCGGGGGUGGGGAGUCGGAGCAAGUGAGACAUAUUUCUACCGCUUCAAGCCUGCACGGUGCCUACAACAACGUUGCCGUUGUGGUGACGACUUAACCCUACUCGAGCGCUGAGAACCCUGGGAUCCGGGCAAGUUGGCAAAGCAGACGCAGGAGGACCUCCUGCUCCCUGCUUCAGGCUCCUGGUUUCCUGCACUUCAUCCUCCCUCAAUGGCAAGGGAUGGAGAGAGCUCGCAGGCUCCAGCCCAGCGGAACGAAUGGCUGGCCUUGGGAAAAGCCUCCCUUUCACAGACACUUGGAGCUAGCUUGCACUCACGGCCACAGGGUUCCAGCCAAAGGAAGCAGAAAACUUUGCGGGCUUUCUGUGUCACCUCUGGAUGGAACAGAAGAGCCUAAGACAUUGAUCUGCUGUUUGGAUCUGGGGCACCCAGUGGCCAGCACUAAGUCAGG